rnacentral:tRNA from 1 species
GGUGACUGAGUAGUAAAGUGCUUGCCUUGCAUGCAUGAGGCCCUGGGUUUGAUUCCUCAGCACCA